rnacentral:rRNA from 1 species
UACGUAGGGCGCAAGCGUUGUCCGGAUUUAUUGGGCGUAAAGAGCUCGUAGGCGGUCUGUCGCGUCGGCUGUGAAAACCCGAGGCUCAACCUCGGGCCUGCAGUCGAUACGGGCAGACUAGAGUGCGGUAGGGGAGACUGGAAUUCCCGGUGUAGCGGUGAAAUGCGCAGAUAUCAGGAGGAACACCGGUGGCGAAGGCGGGUCUCUGGGCAGUAACUGACGCUGAGGAGCGAAAGCGUGGGGAGCGAACAGG